rnacentral:rRNA from 1 species
AACCUCCGCAAUGUGAGAAAUCGCGACGGAGGGAUCCCAAGUGCCAUUCUUAACGGGAUGGCUUUUCAUUAGUGUAAAGAGCUUUUGGAAUAAGGGCUGGGCAAGACCGGUGCCAGCCGCCGCGGUAACACCGGCAGCUCUAGUGGUAGCAGUUUUUAUUGGGCCUAAAGCGUCCGUAGCCGGUUUAAUAAGUCUCUGGUGAAAUCCUGUAGCUUAACUGUGGGAAUUGCUGGAGAUACUAUUAGACUUGAGACCGGGAGAGGUUAGAGGUACUCCCAGGGUAGAGGUGAAAUUCUGUAAUCCUGGGAGGACCGCCUGUUGCGAAGGCGUCUAACUGGAACGGUUCUGACGGUGAGGGACGAAAGUUAGGGGCGCGAACCGGAUUAGAUACCCGGGUAGUCCUAACUGUAAACGAUGCGGACUUGGUGUUGGGGUGGCUUUGAGCUGCUCCAGUGCCGAAGGGAAGCUGUUAAGUCCGCCGCCUGGGAAGUACGGUCGCAAGACUGAAACUUAAAGGAAUU